rnacentral:SRP_RNA from 1 species
UCACGCUAGGUGGGGAGCUAGCGGUUCCCUGAACCCGACAUCCGCUCCAGCGGGACCGAACGCCGUCCGAGGGGUUGGUCUUCUCGGGGCCUGGGUUCGCGCACGCAGCGUUGAAGGUCAGGUUCCGCGCACUGGGAGCUUGUGAACCGCGUCAGAUCCGGAAGGAAGCAGCGCUAAGCGAUCCCUCUCAGGUGCCGCGG